AGCCCCCGCGCCCAUCCUGCCCGGCCUCUCCGCCGCCACCCUCACCAGCGCCACCCAGGUUGUGGUCACACUGCCCGCCGCCAGCAGCGUCCCCGCCACCUUCAGUGUCAGCGACUGCAACGCCGCCGUUGACCUGGUCAGUGCCGCCGGCGCGUCAAAGGACACUCCCUUCGCCGCCUGCGCGCUGGGCUCUGGCAAUGCCACCCUCAUCCUCAACCUGACCGCCAGUGCCUACGCCAUCGGCGACACCGUGAGCGUGAAGGCAUCUCAGACCACCCUCAAGGUGGGCAACACCAGCUACACACCCUACUCCGUGCCCAUCACGCCCGUCCUGCUGCCCACCACCACCGCCGUGCUGGUCAGCGAGACCUCCAUCUCCGUCACCCUGCCCACCGGCUUCAACAGCUACCUGCCUUCCACCGCAAACGCCUCGGACUGCAACGCGGCAUUCGUGCUCGUUUCGGCUACCGGCACCGCCAAGACCGCCCCCUACACCAGCUGCACUGUCUCAGGCACCACCCUGACCCUGGGCGUCGCCGCCGGUAC
rnacentral:lncRNA from 1 species